rnacentral:rRNA from 1 species
UGGGGAAUCUUGCACAAUGGGGGCAACCCUGAUGCAGCGACGCCGCGUGAGCGAUGAAGCCCUUCGGGGCGUAAAGCUCUUUCGACCGGAACGAUAAUGACGGUACCGGGAGAAGAAGCUGCGGCUAACUACGUGCCAGCAGCCGCGGUAAUACGUAGGCAGCAAGCGUUGUUCGGAGUUACUGGGCGUAAAGAGUGCGUAGGCGGUUUUCUAAGUUCGGUGUGAAAUCUCCCGGCUUAACUGGGAGGGUGCGCCGAAGACUGGGGAGCUGGAGUGGGGGAAAGGCAGGCGGAAUUCCUGGUGUAGCGGUGAAAUGCGUAGAUAUCAGGAGGAACACCGGCGGUGUAGACGGCUUGCUAGACCAUAACUGACGCUGAGGCACGAAAGCGUGGGUAGCAAACA